CUUUAAAAAAAACUAAUAAACCCUAGUAAUUUGCUCCGCCGUUCAACACAAAAGCCAUUCAAAAGCCUCCGGAUUCUCCACCCUACUUCGAUCGCGACGGAGUGGAAGGAGACUCGGCUACCAGGUACGGAGGAGUCCAGCUGGAGUGUACGGAGGCGCGGUGGCGCACGCACGAGAGGGGAGCGUGCUGGCUGUGCAGUCAUGCGACGCCUAGGGUUUUCUAGGGCUUCCUACUUCUGAUUUUGGGCUGCGUUGUGCCUUGGGCCCGGGUUAGAUGGGGUAUUCGGGAUAGGGUCUGUUGGGUCUAAUAUUUUUCGGGUUUUGGCAUUUUGAGUCUUGGUAUUUAGAAAUUGGGCCUAUUGUAUUGGGUUAGGUGUUAUUAGGCUGCUUUUUAAUUAUUUAUUUGGACUUUUGGACUAUUAUUUUAUUUUAUUUAGUUUAUAUAUGUGAUGUAUAUGGGUCGGGCAUAAAUUGGGUAUUACACUAAAUAUAUACCGGACGCCCCUAUAUAACAUCCAGAAAUGCUUAUUAA